UUUAAGAUUUGGUCAUCUGUGUUGUGUAUAUUGUUUUUAUGUCGAUAUAUUUGUCAUUUCAAGCGGUUUUUGUGUUAUUUCGAUUGUUGGUUUUAGUUAAAAGGGCUUCUUUUCAUUUACAUUUAUGGCGGGAUUUUCGUUACAUUGGUUUACAAUGGUUUUUUGUUACAAUGUGUAAUUUAUGUCCCGUCUGUGUAGGGUGCAGAAGUGGAGGAAAAAAGAACUUUAUUUUCAUUCUUUUGUCCAUCAGAAACCCAACAAAGGCCGUUACGUUAACUUACAGAAAUAAUAACGGGGGAGAUGAACCUCCAGCACACUUUGAAGAAGAGCGGAGGAGGGAAACCCAGCAUCAUCUCAACGUCUUUGAAAUAGUUUCGGUGACCUGCAGGAAAAGACGGGAGAGAGGAGUUUCGUGAGAACACGGACCUUUCCCGAGGAUUUGACGCCCCUGAUGAGGCAGAGGAAGACCACCACCCAGGACACAGCCAGGCAGCCCAGGAUGGGGAGGCGCACUUCUCCAAAGUUGCCGAUGUCGUCGGAGAUGUCCAGCACGUAGUGUCUAAAAUAAACACACAGCUUUUAUAUGCAUUAUCAAGCACGUUUUGUCUGCUGAAAUCAAGUAUAAAAAAUGCUAAAUUAGCUAAAAUACAAAUAUAAUAUGCAGUAUUGCACACUGGCCACCAGGUGUCAGUAAAUUUGUCUGAAAUUUUAUAUUGUCUUAUUUGUGAGACAAAAGCCACUGCAGGUAACAGGAGUGAAAUGUUAUUAUAGGGGUGUUAUUUCAUGUCGAGGGGGCUCUAAUGAUGUAAAAAAUAUAUUGUAUGCUCGAACUGGGAUUAAAUAUAUCUGAAAUUUUAUAUUAUCUUGUCUUAUCUUAAAGUUUUUAUAAUGAGACAAAAGCCACUGCGGGUAACAAGAGUGAAAUGUGAUUAUAGGGGUGUUAUUUCAUGUCGAGAGGGCUCUAAUGAUGUAAAAAAUAUAUUGUAUGCUCUAACUGGGAUUAAAUUUAUCUGAAAUUUUAUUUUAUCUUGUCUCAUCUUAAAGUUUCUAUUAUGAGACAAAAGCCACUGCAGGUAACAGGAGUGAAAUGUGAUUAUAGGGGUGUUAUUUCAUGUCAAGAGGGCUCUACUGUUCAUUCAUUCAUUCAUUUUCUACCGCUUAUCCUCACAAAUUGCUUGG